rnacentral:rRNA from 1 species
UACAGAGGGUGCAAGCGUUGUUCGGAAUUAUUGGGCGUAAAGCGCGUGUAGGCGGCUUUGCAAGUCGGGUGUGAAAGCCCUCGGCUCAACCGAGGAAGUGCGCCCGAAACUGCAGAGCUUGAGUACCGGAGAGGAUGGCGGAAUUCCCCAAGUAGAGGUGAAAUUCGUAGAUAUGGGGAGGAACACCGGUGGCGAAGGCGGCAUCUGGGCCGGUACUGACGCUGAGGUGCGAAAGCGUGGGGAGCAAACAGG